AGGGGCACAGGCCCUGGGCAGAGAGGGCAGCGUGGGCGGGCACCUGCAGCCUGCUUCCCAGGGCCCUGGCACAGCGGCUGCUCAGCGGGCAGGGCCUCCCCGGGUCAGGGUGCACAGCCUGUGGUUAAGAGUCCGGGACCUGGCUGGCCUUGGUCCAGGGUCUGAAGCUAAUUACCUAGAUAACAAAGUGGCAGCUCCUAGGCGCCUCGCUGAGGUGGAGGGAGGCCAGGGCAAUGGGCAGAGGACCCUGGGCUCCUAAAAGCUCCCCUUGCCUUCCAGGCCUCAGGAGCCUGGGUGGGCUCUGGGGGCAGCCAUGGCUGGCCUUCCCGCGGUGCCCCCAGCCUUCCUGGGGUCAGUGCUAGUGAGGCGGUGUGGCUGGAGGGGGAGCUGGGUGGCCUGGGCGGGGGUGUAUUCGGAGGUCCUGGCCCCAGUGCCGGGGAGAGGCUCUAAGCAGCCAGAGAGCGAGGGUACGGUGGGCACUGUGUCUUCAGGACAGCCUCCCUGACAGCAGGUGCUGCCAACGGCCUGAGAAGAGGAAGGAGAAAGCUGUCAGGGCAGGGCCCCAGCCUGCAUGAGGCUCGCCCUGCUGGCCAGAGCACCGCUGCAGGACGCUCGGGCAGAGGGGAGGGGGCUUGCUCUGCCCCCAUUCUUUUCUUUUUAGGGGCACACCCGUGGCCAUGUGGAGGUUCCCAGGCUAGGGGUGGAAUUGGAGCCACGGCUGUUGGCCUACAGCACAGCCACAGCAUCUCGGGAUCCUUAACCCACUGAGCGAGGCCAGGGAUCAAACCCUCAUCCUCAUGGAUACUAGUCAGCUUCAUAACCCGCUGAGCCACAGUGGGAACUCCUGCUCUGCCGCCAUUCUGCUUCACGCCGUCAGUGUUCCCAGAAAGGGGUCUGCAGGCUCUGCAGCUGAGAGGGGGGCACUGCCAGCAGCCCUCAGGUCCUGGCUUGGCCCUGUCCCCACAGCACCUCUGACCUGGCAGUCACCUUCUCCCCGGGCUCUCCUGACACUGCCCAGAGGGGCCUCCUGGCAUCUUAGCUGCUGAGGGAGGAGGCGCAGCCUGUCCUGACCUGCACCCAGUGCCUCGCCACCCGAGUCUGGGCCUCGUCUGCGCUGGGCUUUCUAGCUCAGGCCGGUUGCUGCCUCAGCCAUCUUGGGCUGGAACCCAGGCCCUGGCUGGGUGAGCACAGGCCCAGGUGCCUGCCUGCCUCAGGAUCUGUCAGAACAGACAGGCAGCUAGGCUGAGGCGCAGCCCCGCAGUCCCCCCACCCCCACCCCCACCUCCCGUGGCCUGUCCUGCCCAGCACCCCGGGUGUGAUCACUAGGCGGCUGCAGGCCCCCCCUCAGGAAGCCAUGGCCCUGUCCACCUAGAAGACCCACCUGCAGCCCAGCCUGCGUCCCUGGAGCCCCCUUCCCACCAUCAGACCUUGGGGCCAUCGGUGCUCCUCCUGAGCCUUCCUUGGGCCAGACCUCACUCGGGGACCUCAUUGAGCACCCCUUCUUUCUGGAAGGGACUGCCCUGCUCCAGAUCAGGUCAGGUCAGGUCAGGUGUCUCUAGCUCCAAGACCCCCCGUACUGGGCUGGGGUGGGGGGCUUUACAAUCUGCCCCGGCCUGUCUGUCCCCUCUGCAGGCCUGGCCUCAGAGGCUUCCUGGGGCGAGGAAGUGCCUCCAGGCAGCACUCGCUCGGGACAGCCUGUCCCCAGCUGGCUGCCUCUGCACAUCACUGGGGCCGUGGUGGACACUGCCACCCAGACGGGCUGCCCGGAUCCCAAGUACUGCCUUUGCCCUCUGGCCAUGAGGACGGCCAUGGGUGCCAGGCCACACGGGCGUGGCAGAGCUCCCGCCCCCCACAAGGAUCUCCUUGCCUCCUGGCCACUCACGGGCUCCCUCACUUUCCCUGGCGGGGAGCUGGCCUGCCCUCCAGCCCACUCAGGGGUCUGUCCUCUCUAUGGAGGCAGCAUCUGGGCCUGCCAGGGGAGCCAGCCCGAACGGCCUGCCUUGAGACCACACAGAAGGAGCAAAGCACGCUGCCCUCUGCCCAGUGCCAGCCCCGCCUAUGACCCCUUCUCCAGCCAUUCGGGGAAGGCAACCCAUGGAGGAGGCCACCCCGCACUCAGGCCGAGGCUCCCCAGCAAAGUGGGGUCCCAGGGCCUCAGGGACUAGUUUCACUUCUCCCAGAUGAGCACCAGUGACACAGCCACAGCCCGACUUUGUUAAUUUAGCAAGAUUUAGGGGACAUAACCCACACUAUCGUUUUAUGAGAGAAAAGCGGUUCUGGUAUCCGCAUCCUACAGAAAACCUAGAGUAACCGCCAGCUUGUUGAGCAGAACAGACGCUGUCUUUUCUAGCUGUUGUGCUUUGUCCCUUUGAAGGCCACCCAUGAAAAUCCCUCUCAGGGGGGAUCCGAGAGCUGCCUCGAGCAGGCUGGCCAGCCCCAGGCCCUGCCCCGUGGCCGCACUGGGAGGACAGGGCUCCGGCUCCAGACCCUCUGCCUGCAGGCCCCACGCCCCGGGCAGUACACCCAGGAGGCGGGUGUCCUGCUGGGCGCAGGCCUCUGCUCUGGUGGGUCUGCCUUCCCGAAGGCCCCGACCCGCUCUGGGCCCGGUCAGCAGCACUCCUUGCUGGGAGAUGCCAGAGGGGGCCCCUGUGUGACCUUGGGUGGGUCCCUUGGGCUGCUGGACAGCCUCCUCUGAGAGAGAGGUGACCCUGGGGGGGCCCAGGACCCCACUGCCGUGGGCAACCCAUCCUGCAACACUCUCCAUGGAAGGCGUGACCCAGCUCCCCCAAGGCUGAACCCCAAGCUCUCGUGCCCCCGAGCUGCUCCCCGAGUGCCGCCUCCUCCUGGGCACCUGGUCCAGGAACAGCCCCAGAGCUGGAACACUCACCCUCAGCUGCGCCCCAGGCCGGGACAGCGCUGGGCGUCUCAGCAGCCGACCACCGUGCCCCGCGCGGGCCGAGGGGGGCCGGCCGGGGUGGGCACCACCGGACGCCUGGCUUUCGCAGACCAGGUUGGCCGAGCGACUCCUCAGCCCCCUGCUGGCGUCACUCCCACUUUCCCCUGGAAAUGGGCCCCUUGCACCCAUGUCACAGCCCCGUGAGGCCCAGGGGCAGCGCGGCGAAGGCCAGGGCCCUGGAGGGUCAGGCAGCGGCAUCCUCCACACCCAGAGGGCGCGGAGGAGGUGCGGGCGCAGCCCGGAGACGUGCGGGGGCAGGAGCGGGGGUGCCCAGCCCAGCGCAGCCACCUUCCCUCGGGGUCGGCGCUCACACCCCGGGGAGCUUAAGGCUUUGGAGCGGGACCCUGUGACGGGCCAUCAGAGACUCGGCUUUGUGCGGCCCAGGCUGUCGGAGCAAAAGCCGGGAAGCUCCCAGCGGCUCCCGCGGGGAGAGGGAAGUGCGGCGGCCUUCCUGCGGGUCACACGCGGGGGUGCCGCGAGCAAGGGGCCGAAACCCCAAUGCAGAGCUGAGCCCGCCCCCCGGCUGGCACACGCUGAUGUGCUCGGGGGCCAUGACACAGGGCUCCCGAGGCAGCGAGGGACAGGCCCCAGCACCAUCCCGCACCCUGGCCCUGCCGACCCCGCCGGGCUCACCUGGGGAGAUUCCUGUCCCUGCCGCAUGUCCCGACCCCUGCAGGCACCAGGGGCAGGUGGAGGCUGGACGCGGGGGCACCGUUUGUCCCAGCCUGUCUCUUCCCCCAGGGGACAGCUGGCCCAGGGCGCUCCUGGGGGCCUCUCAGCCACGUGCCUGCGGAAGGGGCUUCCGUCAGGGUAUGUGAGGGGCCAAGGGGCAGGGCUGGUGGGCUUGGAGCCACCAGUGGACAAGCCCCGCCAGGAGCCCACACCCAGGGCAGGGCGUGAUUUACAACAGGCACUUGACCAGCCACCCAGCGCUGUCACCUCCCCGGCUCUGCCCUGGGGCCUGCCUUGCAGGGGCCAGGAGGGGCUGGGGAGGACAGGCCUGCCCUCAGCAGAGGCAUCAGGGAGAAAAAGGAGGCCCGGUGGCUCUGGGGUGGGCCCACCUGGCAGGCCGAGGGGUGGGGCGGGCUGGGCACCAUGAGCAGUGGGACAGGUGGGCUCCCAGCACUGGCCAGGUCCAUGGAGGAGCAGAUCGGGGGUGCUGCUGUGGGCACUAUCACCACGGUGACGUCAGGUGAGUGCAGAGCAGCCAUGACCAGGGUGUACUCACCUGCCCCCAGCAGGCCUGUUCUAGAAUGUUCUAGAAGCUAACCCCACAGCGCUAUCCUCAGGCCCCUCACUGCCUUUCUGAGAAAAAACACUGGAAAUGACCUAAAUGUCUAUCUAAGGGUCAUUAAAUAAGCCCCUGAGGGGUUUAUGAGGAAGCUUCU
rnacentral:lncRNA from 1 species